AUUGAACGCUGGCGGCAGGCCUAACACACGCAAGUCGAACGAGUGGCGGACGGGAGAGUAAUGUCUGGGAAACUGCCUGAUGGAGGGGGAUAACUACUGGAAAAGGUAGCUAAUACCGCAUACCAUCGGAUGUGCCCAGAUGGGAUUAGCUUGGAGGUGGGGUAACGGCUCACCUAGGCGACGAUCCCUAGACGGUCUGAGAGGAUGACCAGCAACACUGGAACUGGUACACGGUCCAGACUCCUACGGGGGGCAGCAGUGGGGAAUAUUGCACAAUGGGCGCAGGCCUGAUGCAGCCAUGCCGCGUGUAUGAAGAAGGCCUUCGGGUUGUAAAGUACUUUCAGCGGGGAGGCGUUACCCGAAGAAGAAGCACCGGCUAACUCCGUGCCAGCAGCCGCGGUAAUAC
rnacentral:rRNA from 1 species